UACAUGUUCCUUCUCUCUGUAUGUCAGAUUGUGUUAGAAGUGUGAUAUUAACACCAUGAAUAUUUUGCAAAUAUUGACUCCUCCCAUAUGAUUUAGUCAUUGCUAAUGGAGACACUACAGGCUCACAGUGGGAAUGUUAAAAGGAAGAAAAGAAAGUGGUGCACUUUCAGAAUGUGUAGUUCUGAAUAUGAAAAUGUACUUUUUAUAUAAAGACAACUGCUGACUUUUAAUCAAAACGAGAUCAUAAAUAUUUAGCAAGAGGGAAAAAGUAAUUUUAUUGGUACACUUUAUUUUUAAAUAAUUACUGAAAAAUGUGUAUUUGAAGAGUCCACCUUGCUAAAUGGAUGACACUUUUGAGCCAGUAAGAUUUACAUUAAUUAUUUUUUGCUAAGUCACAAGAUUAAUAUUUCUUACAUAUUAAUUGCCUAAAAGGAUGGAAUGCUUAAAACUUACCUGAUUAUAAACAAUUCCUGCACAGGUCAAAACGCCAUAACACCAGAAAGUAAUUACAACAACAUAAAUAUUUCUGCUAAGAAAAAAAUAAAUCCUUAUCUGACAACCUGAUCUGUGAUUUGGUAGUGUUAGGUUAACAGUCCAACUUGCUGAUCAUAGAGGUCUUUUCCAACUGUAACAUUUAUGUGAUUUUAGUCUUUAAUAAUUUCACUAUGAAGGCUUAAAAUGUCACUGAUAAAGGAACUGCACGUUAACUUUCUGGUGAAGGAAAACAGAAGGUUUUUAAAAUUCCUUUUUCAUACAAGCACUUUUUUUUUUAGUACAGAAACCUUAAGUACAUCUAUGAAGUUAUGUUAGGACGGCAGUGUAAGAACAAGAGCAGAAACAUGGAGAAUACAACCAAAAUACUUGGGAAAAUUUUCCUACAAUUGAUUCAAGCUAGCCCCAUCGUGAUGCCUGUGACAGAUCCCUGUUCUUUCUGUGGAGGAUCCUUCAAUCAUUAGGCUUUGCUGAAGCCAGCUGCAAAGAUAAGCAAGGGUUUCAGCUCCUGUUUUUCUCAGCCAGCCUCAUCAAUUCCUCACCAACUUAGAGCAAUGCUGCAGAAUUCUGAUAAUUUACCAUAAGGUUUGAGUGUGCAAUUACAGUCACAGCUGCAGAUUCCUCAGAUGCUCUCCAAGUGAGUAUCAACUCUGUAUAGGCUUGCUGGGUGUGUAGAAAUGAACUGCAAGUGAAAACACUAUGUUCCUUUCAAGUGCACUUCAAACUGGGAAAAGAAAUAAUCAAAAAGUGAUAAAGAAAAGAAAAUGUCAUCCUUGCUGGUGCUUGGGCUAGUAUUUGGGCAAUAAAGAUUUCCUUUUUUUUCUUUACUUCCA
rnacentral:lncRNA from 1 species